GACGAACGCUGGCGGCGUGCCUAAUACAUGCAAGUCGAGCGCAGGAAACUGACGGAGCUCUUCGGAGGGAAGGCAGUGGAAUGAGCGGCGGACGGGUGAGUAACACGUAAGGAACCUGCCUCAAGGAUUGGGAUAACUCCGAGAAAUCGGAGCUAAUACCGGAUAGUUCAACGGACCGCAUGGUCCGCUGAUGAAAGGCGCUCCGGCGUCACCUUGAGAUGGCCUUGCGGUGCAUUAGCUAGUUGGUGGGGUAACGGCCCACCAAGGCGACGAUGCAUAGCGGACCUGAGAGGGUGAUCGGCCACACUGGGACUGAGACACGGCCCAGACUCCUACGGGAGGCAGCAGUAGGGAAGCUUCCACAAUGGACGAAAGUCUGAUGGAGCAACGCCGCGUGAGUGAUGAAGGUUUUCGGAUCGUAAAACUCUGUUGUAAGAGAAGAACACGUACGAGAGGGAAUGCUCGUACCUUGACGGUACCUUACGAGAAAGCCACGGCUAACUACGUGCCAGCCGCCGCCGUAAGAC
rnacentral:rRNA from 1 species